rnacentral:rRNA from 1 species
AUUGAACGCUGGCGGCAUGCCUUACACAUGCAAGUCGAACGGCAGCACGGGAGCAAUCCUGGUGGCGAGUGGCGAACGGGUGAGUAAUAUAUCGGAACGUGCCCAGUAGUGGGGGAUAACUGCUCGAAAGAGCAGCUAAUACCGCAUACGACCUGAGGGUGAAGGGGGGGGAUCGCAAGACCUCUCGCUAUUGGAGCGGCCGAUAUCAGAUUAGCUAGUUGGUGGGGUAAAGGCCUACCAAGGCAACGAUCUGUAGUUGGUCUGAGAGGACGACCAGCCACACUGGGACUGAGACACGGCCCAGACUCCUACGGGAGGCAGCAGUGGGGAAUUUUGGACAAUGGGCGCAUGCCUGAUCCAGCAAUGCCGCGUGCAGGAAGAAGGCCUUCGGGUUGUAAACUGCUUUUGUCAGGGAAGAAAUCCUCUAGGUUAAUACCCUUGGGGGGAUGACGGUACCUGAAGAAUAAGCACCGGCUAACUACGUGCCAGCAGCCGCGGUAAAAC